rnacentral:rRNA from 1 species
UACGUAGGGUGCAAGCGUUGUUCGGAAUUACUGGGCGUAAAGCGCGUGUAGGCGGCAAGCCAAGUCGGGUGUGAAAGCCCUGGGCUCAACCCAGGAAGUGCAUUCGAUACUUGGCAGCUAGAGUCCCGGAGAGGAUGGUGGAACUCUCGGUGUAGAGGUGAAAUUCGUAGAUAUCGAGAAGAACACCGGUGGCGAAGGCGGCCAUCUGGACGGUGACUGACGCUGAGAGCGAAAGCGUGGGGAGCAAA